CUUAUUACUUUUUUUUUUACUUUCAAUCCAAAUGCCUAAACUUCAUUGUGACAAAAACUUGCUUUUUUUGCAGUACAUUAAGAUGCAAUCCACAAAAUAGAAAAUGUAAAAAUCUUGGAGGAUAACAAAAUCUUAUUAAAACAGUUGAUAAAAAAAAAAG